GACGAACGCUGGCGGCGUGCCUAAUACAUGCAAGUAGAACGCUGAAGGAGGAGCUUGCUUCUCUGGAUGAGUUGCGAACGGGUGAGUAACGCGUAGGUAACCUGCCUGGUAGCGGGGGAUAACUAUUGGAAACGAUAGCUAAUACCGCAUAAUAGUAGAUGUUGCAUGACAUUUGCUUAAAAGGUGCAAUUGCAUCACUACCAGAUGGACCUGCGUUGUAUUAGCUAGUUGGUGGGGUAACGGCUCACCAAGGCGACGAUACAUAGCCGACCUGAGAGGGUGAUCGGCCACACUGGGACUGAGACACGGCCCAGACUCCUACGGGAGGCAGCAGUAGGGAAUCUUCGGCAAUGGACGGAAGUCUGACCGAGCAACGCCGCGUGAGUGAAGAAGGUUUUCGGAUCGUAAAGCUCUGUUGUAAGAGAAGAACGAGUGUGAGAGUGGAAAGUUCACACUGUGACGGUAUCUUACCAGAAAGGGACGGCUAACUACGUGCCAGCAGCCGCGGUAAUACGUAGGUCCCGAGCGUUGUCCGGAUUUAUUGGGCGUAAAGCGAGCGCAGGCGGUUAGAUAAGUCUGAAGUUAAAGGCUGUGGCUUAACCAUAGUACGCUUUGGAAACUGUUUAACUUGAGUGCAAGAGGGGAGAGUGGAAUUCCAUGUGUAGCGGUGAAAUGCGUAGAUAUAUGGAGGAACACCGGUGGCGAAGGCGGCUCUCUGGCUUGUAACUGACGCUGAGGCUCGAAAGCGUGGGGAGCAAACAGG
rnacentral:rRNA from 1 species